rnacentral:tRNA from 1 species
AUCUUUUUAAUAUAAUCCAGUAUAAUUGACUUCCAAUCAAACAGUCCAAUAAUGGGAAAGAUA